AUUGAACGCUGGCGGCAGGCUUAACACAUGCAAGUCGAGCGGAGAUGAGGUGCUUGCACCUUAUCUUAGCGGCGGACGGGUGAGUAAUGCUUAGGAAUCUGCCUAUUAGUGGGGGACAACAUUCCGAAAGGAAUGCUAAUACCGCAUACGCCCUACGGGGGAAAGCAGGGGAUCUUCGGACCUUGCGCUAAUAGAUGAGCUUAAGUCGGAUUAGCUAGUUGGUGGGGUAAAGGCCUACCAAGGCGACGAUCUGUAGCGGGUCUGAGAGGAUGAUCCGCCACACUGGGACUGAGACUCGGCCCAGACUCCUACGGGAGGCAGCAGUGGGGAAUAUUGGACAAUGGGCGGAAGCCUGAUCCAGCCAUGCCGCGUGUGUGAAGAAGGCCUUUUGGUUGUAAAGCACUUUAAGCGAGGAGGAGGCUACCUGGAUUAAUACUCUAGGAUAGUGGACGUUACUCGCAGAAUAAGCACCGGCUAACUCUGUGCCAGCAGCCGCCGCAGUAA
rnacentral:rRNA from 1 species